GACGAACGCUGGCGGCGUGCUUAACACAUGCAAGUCGAACGGAAAGGCCCUGCUUUUGUGGGGUGCUCGGGUGGCGAACGGGAGAGGAACACGUGAGUAACCUGCCCUGGACUUUGGGAUAACUUCAGGAAACUGGGGCUAAUACCGGAUAGGAGCUCCUGCGGCAUGGGGGGGGUUGGAAAGGGUCGGCGGUUGGGGAUGGACUCGCGGCUGAUCAGCGUGUUGGUGGGGUAGUGGCUGACCAAGGCUUUGACGGGUAGCCGGCCUGAGAGGGUGACCGGCCACAUUGGGACUGAGAUACGGCGCAGACUCCUACGGGAGGCAGCAGUGGGGAAUAUUGCACAAUGGGCGGAAGCCUGAUGCAGCAACGCCGCGUGCGGGAUGACGGCCUUCGGGUUGUAAACCGCUUUCGCCUGUGACGAAGCGUGAGUGACGGUAAUGGGUAAAGAAGCACCGGCUAACUACGUG
rnacentral:rRNA from 1 species